rnacentral:lncRNA from 1 species
CUAAUUAUAGAUAACAUUUAUUGAGCCAUACCAAAAAUCUUAUCUAUUAUUUGUUUGGUCUUCACAACAACUUUAUGCAGUAAGAAUUCCUUUUAUCCCCAUAUUACAGAUGACAAAAUUGAAGAAAAUUGCUCGUGGCUACCCAGCUUGAACCUACGUAGUCUGGCUCUAGAACCCAAGGUCUUAUCCCUGUGACUGACAACUGACUACAUGAAGACUAUGGGAAUCUGUCCCAUAGGCUCCUCUUACGUCAGCUCCAUCAAGAACUAUGUCCAUUCCAGUGGAAAUGUCUGGAUCCAUGACAGAGUCUUUGUCUAUGGCCUUCACAUGUGUAUACAGGACAAGAAGGACUUUGAUUGUAUGAGGACUUCGAAAUGACAGGUCAGUGUAUUCAUUUUUCCAAAGUACUUUAGCUGGGCAAUCACUGAAAGAAGAUUAACACUUGACAUGAUAAGAAAGUUAGAUCAACAAAAAACUGUGAUCCA